rnacentral:rRNA from 1 species
UACGAAGGGGGCGAGCGUUGUUCGGAAUUACUGGGCGUAAAGGGCGCGUAGGCGGCCGAUCAAGUUAGAUGUGAAAGUCCUGGGCUCAACCUGGGGACUGCAUUUGAUACUGAUUGGCUUGAAUCCGGGAGAGGAUAGCGGAAUUCCCAGUGUAGAGGUGAAAUUCGUAGAUAUUGGGAAGAACACCAGUGGCGAAGGCGGCUAUCUGGACCGGUAUUGACGCUGAGGCGCGAAAGCGUGGGGAGCGAACAGG